AGAUGUGUGCAGUUGAAGGCUGAUUUCACACUUUGAAAGCAGAAAGCUUUUGUUAUAACAACUUCUCUCUGUGGAAGUAAUUGACUUUAGAAGUCAAUAAGAUUACUGAAUGCCACAGAAGUGCUCCACUCCACAAGUGCUACACAAUUUCUAGGUAGCUUUUGGAUGUGAUGGUAAAGACGAUAAUACCUCCUGGAAGGCACAGAAUACAACAUUCUCUAGAGAGUAGUGAAAAGAUAAUUUUAUGACAUUAUAUUCUGACACUGUGUGAAUCAAUUUUAAUGAAAGAUAUACUUGCUUUCUUUUGCAAUGAUGAAUCUGGAAAUAUUUAACCCCCCAGGCUUGAAGGAAAAAAGUCCUACUUUAAUGGAGUAAAAAUGUGCUACAUCUUUGUAUUGAACAUGAGGUAAAAAUACUUUUGUUCCCAUAUUAUUUUCACAGCAACUGAAUAAAAGCAAGAAUAUGUACUUCAUCUUUCUAUCAGUAGCUGGAAUCUGCCUGUUAAUUCCACCUUGCUCAGAUUUUUAAAGAUGGAAAAGAAGCUAUCCAGACUUUGAAAGCACUAGAUAAAUAUUUGUCAGAAUUACGAGUUAAUUAAAAUCAUCUUACAGUCAUAUGCUCUAAAGAAUCAAAGUACUUUUACACAUGUAUGUGCACAGAACAUUCAGGAGUUUGUGAAAUCUACUUUUGAAAAUGCAGCUGUUUCUAGGGUGAAAUGUAGAAACUAAUUAAUUGUAAAAGUACACAAUAGCUUAAAACAGCAGGUGGAUAAAACUUUUUCCUGUCACAGCUGUGGCAUAAUAUAAUCAGACAAAAUGCAAUUAUCCAGUUGGAAUUUGAGAAAGAUCUUAUAAUUAACAUAACUAUUUUUCUAAAGAUAAUCUUUGGAUGUACAUGCUACAAAGAAAACUAGAAAUACUUCAAAGAGGCUUGAUGCAUCAGGGCUUUGGUUUUGUUUUCACUGAAACAAACCAAAAUCAAGGUAUCCUCUUCUCACUAAGAAGAAAUAUUGGUUGAUCUACAACUUAAAUAUUCACUCCUAACUUCUUUAUUUCUAAAUUUGUCUUGCUAAUAUCUUCCUUUGGGUUCUGUAAUCACAUUCUGAUGGAUAUUUAUGCAUUUCCCUUAAGCAAAAAACAAGCAAUAUGACAUCCUAUCUAUUCUUUCUGGUGGUAAUUCUACCUGUUGCCUUCACUUCCCAUGGGGGACUAUUUCCAAGUUUUGUAUGCUCUUGAGAGAGAAAAUAAACUAAGCAGUUUGUGUCUA